CGGUUGUAGCGCAGAAUAUAAAUAUAUAUAGUAUCGGAAGUAUCGGAAGCAUUGCAGUGAUGUAUAAGCUAUGUCUUCUGCUGCUGCUGGGAGCACAGUGCCUGCUAUCAGCGCCCGUCUACGAUGAAAACGAACGCCUGAAUUUGAGCGCCAGCUGCCCGGACACCGUCUGUCAUCUGUGGGAGCUGCAGAGCGACUAUCAGCGACCACUGCGCUACGCGGGCGGCCAAGUGCCGCAAUUGCAGCAACUGCUGCUGGGCAACAGUCGCAUGCGUGUGCUGCCCGUGGAGCUGCUGCGACAGGCGCCCAAUCUGCGCAGCCUGCUGGUGCAGAACUGCAGCGUUUACCAUGUGAACAAGGAGGAUUUCCAAGCGACGCCGCAGCUGAGGGAACUGCUGCUGCAGCGCAAUCACAUAGCACGGCUGAAGGAGCAACAGUUUGGGACACUGCAGCAGCUGCAGGUGCUUCAACUUGACCACAAUAUCAUACAGGUUGUGCACGCCAAUGCCUUUGAGGGUCUGGCGCAGUUGCAGCUACUGGGACUGCAGGGCAAUGGGAUCACGCAACUGAUGGAGGGUGCUUUUGGAGCACUCACAAAUCUCAGGCACCUCGAUCUGAGUGACAAUGAGAUUAGACAGAUCAAUGGACAGACCUUUGCCGGCAAUGGCAAAUUACAAACGCUGCUGCUGAGUGGCAAUCAGCUGGCACAGUUUGAGCCCAAUUCCUUGGCAGCACUGUCCCAGUUGCGUCUGCUCGAUCUGAGCAACUGUGGCCAGUUGGAAGAGCUGCAUUUGCUGGGCGCUCAAAGGCUGCUGCUGGAGGGCAGCGGUGUGCGGCGCCUGAUCAUCGACGGCGGCGUUAUCAAUCUUCAGGCGGGCAAAAAUACGCUGACUCAGUUGAGCAUUGGCGAUAAGAGCGCCGUCAUCGAACUGGACCUGCAUGGGAAUCAGCUGAGCGGCAAUGCGACAUGGUCGCUCCUGCAGGGCAUGUGGAAUCUACAGCGUCUGGAUCUGGCCAAAAACCAAAUUGAAUCGCUGUCUAGUGCGGACAGCCUGAGCCUGCUGCUGCCCAGUCUCACCCAUCUGAACCUGGCCCACAAUCAGCUACGCAGUCUGCCACCAGACACGGCGCUGCUGCCGACGCAUCUGCUCCAGCUGGACAUAUCCUACAAUCAUAUGCUCGCGGUGAGCGCACAAAACUUUGCAGCCCUGCCGCGCCUACAGCGUCUGCAUAUGGAGGGCAAUCGCUUGCAUCAGUUCGACCACGAAAUCUUCCAUCGCCAGCAUCCGCAUCUGCAGGAGCUGGGCAUCUGCGAUACCGAGGGCAGCUACAGCUUUAUGCACAAGAUGCUGCUCUACCUGAGCGAUCGUGGCGUCCACCUGCCCGUGCACUGCCUGCACAAGCCGGACAGCAACAUGGACGCCAGAGCAACGCUGGAUGAGCUAGCGCAGCCGGAUGCGGCACAGGCUCAAACAAGAGCGGGUGUCACCGGCAUUCAUCCAUAUUGGACGACACGUGAUGUCUUGGCUUUCCUCACCCUGUUGGUGGUGUUCAUCAUCUUGCUGAUGCAACUCUAUCGCAUCCUGGAGGAGGAAGGCUGGCUGCGACGCAUGCAGCACUGGAUCAUGGGCAGGCAGCCAGCCGUGCCCAAUGGCACCAGACCCGGGCGCCUCGACGAGCAGGACUCUCAAAGCUCAAGUGAUUAAAUGUGAGAGCAAACAUGCACUUAGAGAAAUCUUUAGCACAAAUCAAUUGGCCAACACAAGCUCUAUUUCGUGAUGUAUCCUUCGUCGCAGUUCCUAUGUAACCUUUACACUGUCGAAUGUAGUUCACAAUAGAUAACAAUUCGUGUGAAUCAAGUUAGGUAUAUAUAUGUAGUGCACUCAAUGAUAACUUAUCCAUAACU